UACGUAGGCGGAAGAUUAAGUCAGUGGUGAAAUCCCGCAGCUCAACUGUGGAACUGUCAUUGAUACUAGUUUUCUUGAAUUUAGUUGAGGUAGGCGGAAUGUGUAAUGUAGCGGUGAAAUGCUUAGAUAUUACACAGAACACCGAUUGCGAAGGCAGCUUACUAAACUAUGAUUGACGCUGAGGUACGAAAGCGUGGGGAGCGAACAGGAUUAGAUACCCUGGUAGUCC
rnacentral:rRNA from 1 species